rnacentral:misc_RNA from 1 species
UCUGGUUGGUCCAGAGGGA